ACCUACGGGGGGCAGCAGUAGGGAAUUUUCGUCAAUGGGCGCAAGCCUGAACGAGCAAUGCCGCGUGAACGAGGAAGGUCUUCGGAUCGUAAAGUUCUGUUGAAGGGGAAAAAGAGCGGAGAGAGGAAAUGGUCUCCGAUUGAUAUUACCCUUCGAGGAAGUCACGGCUAACUACGUGCCAGCAGCCGCGGUAAUACGUAGGUGGCGAGCGUUAUCCGGAAUGAUUGGGCGUAAAGGGUGCGUAGGCGGCCUGCUAAGUCUGGAGUGAAAGGUACUGGCUCAACCGGUACAGGCUCUGGAAACUG
rnacentral:rRNA from 1 species